rnacentral:rRNA from 1 species
CAAUAGCGUAUAUUAAAGUUGUUGCGGUUAAAAAGCUCGUAGUUGGAGUUCUGCCAGGUGCCGCCUGUCCGCCCCAGUGGUGAGUACGUGGCGCGCAUUUGGCCCUUUCAAGGGGAGCGUAUCUGCACUUUAUUGUGUGGUGCGGGAUCCUUGACUUUUACUUUGAGGAAAUAGGAGUGUUCCAAGCAGGCUCUCGUCGUGCACAGCUCAGCAUGGAAUAAUAGCAUUGGACCUCGAUUCUAAGCUGUUGGUUGCCAGAAGCGAGGUAAUGAUGAAGAGGGAUAGUUGGGGGCAUUCGUAUUUAACUGUCAGAGGUGAAAUUCUUGGAUUUGUUAAAGACGGACUACCGCGAAAGCAUCUGCCAUGGAUGUUUUCAUUGA